UACGUAGGGUGCGAGCGUUAAUCGGAAUUACUGGGCGUAAAGCGUGCGCAGGCGGUGAUGUAAGACCGAUGUGAAAAUCCCCGGGCUUAACCUGGGAACUGCAUUGGUGACUGCAUUGCUGGAGUAUGGCAGAGGGGGGUGGAAUUCCACGUGUAGCAGUGAAAUGCGUAGAGAUGUGGAGGAAUACCGAUGGCGAAGGCAGCCCCCUGGGCCAAUACUGACGCUCAUGCACGAAAGCGUGGGGAGCAAACAG
rnacentral:rRNA from 1 species